rnacentral:ncRNA from 2 species
GGGUCCAGAGAUAAUUUUAUAUUUCUGGAGACAUUGGGUAGUCGGGCCGCUAUCC